rnacentral:rRNA from 1 species
GUGAGGUAAUGGCUCACCAAGGCAUCGACGGGUAGCUGGUCUGAGAGGACGAUCAGCCACACUGGAACUGAGACACGGUCCAGACUCCUACGGGAGGCAGCAGUGGGGAAUCUUGCACAAUGGGCGAAAGCCUGAUGCAGCGACGCCGCGUGGGGGAUGAAGGCCUUAGGGUCGUAAACCCCUUUCAGCAGGGACGAAAUUGACGGUACCUGCAGAAGAAGCUCCGGCCAACUACGUGCCAGCAGCCGCGGUAAGACGUAGGGGGCGAGCGUUGUCCGGAAUUAUUGGGCGUAAAGAGCUCGUAGGCGGUUCCGUAAGUCAGAUGUGAAAACUCAGGGCUCAACCCUGAGACGCCAUCUGAUACUGCGGUGACUUGAAUCCAGUAGGGGAGUGUGGAAUUCCUGGUGUAGCGGUGAAAUGCGCAGAUAUCAGGAGGAACACCUAUGGCGAAGGCAGCACUCUGGGCUGGUAUUGACGCUGAGGAGCGAAAGCAUGGGUAGCAAACAGGAUUAGAUACCCUGGUAGUCCAUGCCGUAAACGGUGGGCACUAGGUGUGGGGACUUUCAACGGUUUCCGUGCCGAAGCUAACGCAUUAAGUG